rnacentral:ribozyme from 1 species
GGUUGCAAAUUUGAAGCCAUAGCAUAAGCAAUCAUGGCACAGCUUGUCAGAUUCCAGUGAAUCUGUGAAUUCUGCU